GAUGAAUAACGCAGCGAAAUGCGAUAAGUAAUGUGAAUUGCAGAAUUCAGUGAAUCAUCGAAUCUUUGAACGCAUCUUGCGCUCCUUGGUAUUCCGAGGAGCAUGCCUGUUUGAGUGUCAUUUAACUUCUCAACCACAUUGGAUAUUUUUUUUCCGAUGCCGGCUUGGAUGUGGGGGUUGUUUGCAGGCUUUUUGUAACAAAAAAGGUCGGCUCCCCUGAAAUGUAUUAGUGGUAUCUGAGGCUAUUACUAUUAGGUGUGAUAAUUAUCUAUGCCUUUUGGGUAUGCCGCAUGAACAGAUUAUGCUGCUUCUAACGAAAACUAUUUUGAUGAAUUUGACCUCAAAUCAGGUAGGACUACCCGCUGAACUUAAGCAUAUCAAUAAGCGGAGGA
rnacentral:misc_RNA from 1 species